GUUCAAGCAUCAUUUAAAUCUAAUACCAGCUAAAACUCCAAAAUUAAAUUUAAAAGUACAAACCCACAAAUGAACUCAUUAACUCAGAUAACACAAACAUGCGAAUCACUGAAUCAGUAGCAUUAAUUAAAUUUAGCAUAUGAAGAUAAACCAAGAGAAAAAUUAGUGAUUGAAUCCAUGAAUACAUGACUACAGCCAAAGACCAUUUGCACUAAUAAUGCUAAUACAACCAUUAAUCAACUUCACAUCUUUAAGGUUCGUUAAAGUGAACCUGCAAAACUUUAUUGUCCCUUAACUAUUUCCUUUUUUCCCCCCUUCAUCUCA
rnacentral:misc_RNA from 1 species